rnacentral:rRNA from 1 species
UUCCUACGGGACGCAGCAGGGAAUCUUCCACAAUGGGCGAAAGCCUGAUGGAGCAACGCCGCGUGGGUGAAGAAGGUCUUCGGAUCGUAAAACCCCGUUGUUAAAGAAGAAAGUGCGUGAGAGUAACUGUUCACGUUUCGACGGUAUCUAACCAGAAAGCCACGGCUAACUACGUGCCAGCAGCCGCGGUAAUACGUAGGUGGCAAGCGUUAUCCGGAUUUAUUGGGCGUAAAGGGAACGCAGGCGGUCUUUUAAGUCUGAUGUGAAAGCCUUCGGCUUAACCGGAGUAGUGCAUUGGAAACUGG